CCUACGGGAGGCAGCAGUGGGGAAUAUUGCACAAUGGGGGAAACCCUGAUGCAGCGACGCCGCGUGAGUGAAGAAGUAUUUCGGCAUGUAAAGCCCUAUCAGCAGGGAAGAAAAUGACGGUACCUGAUCAAGAAGCCCCGGCUAACUACGUGCCAGCAGCCGCGGUAAUACGUAGGGGGCAAGCGUUAUCCGGAUUUACUGGGUGAAAAGGGGGCGCAGACGGCAGCACAAGCCUGGAGUGAAAUCCCGGGGCUCAACCCCGUCGUGCCGUUGGAACUGACGCGCUUGAGUUAAUGAGAGGUAAGCGGAAUGCGUGGUGUAGCGGUGAAAUGCAUAGAUAUCACGCAGAACGCCGAUUGCGAAGGCAGCUUACCGGCGCUCAACUGACGCUGAGGCACGAAGGUGCGGGUAUCGAACAGGAUUAGAUACCCGAGUAGUC
rnacentral:rRNA from 1 species